rnacentral:rRNA from 1 species
GAUGAACGCUAGCGAUAGGCUUAACACAUGCAAGUCGAGGGGCAGCACAAGGUAGCUUGCUAUCUGGGUGGCGACCGGCGCACGGGUGCGUAACGCGUAUGCAACUUGCCCUAUACAGGAGGAUAACCCGUCGAAAGACGGACUAAUACUGCGUAUGCUCACAACUUGGCAUCAAGUGGUGAGGAAAGAAAUUCGGUAUAGGAUAGGCAUGCGUCCCAUUAGCUUGUUGGUGAGGUAACGGCUCACCAAGGCAACGAUGGGUAGGGGAACUGAGAGGUUUAUCCCCCACACUGGUACUGAGACACGGACCAGACUCCUACGGGAGGCAGCAGUGAGGAAUAUUGGUCAAUGGGCGCGAGCCUGAACCAGCCAAGUCGCGUGAAGGAUGACUGUCUUAUGGAUUGUAAACUUCUUUUAUACGGGAAGAACAAGAGCCACGUGUGACUCCCUGCAUGUACCGUAUGAAUAAGCAUCGGCUAACUCCGUG